rnacentral:rRNA from 1 species
UACGGAGGAUGCAAGCGUUGUCCGGAAUCAUUGGGCGUAAAGAGCGUGUAGGCGGUUCAGUAAGUCUGCUGUGAAAGUCCAGGGCUCAACCCUGGGAUGCCGGUGGAUACUGCUGGGCUAGAGUACGGAAGAGGCGAGUGGAAUUCCCGGUGUAGCGGUGAAAUGCGCAGAUAUCGGGAGGAACACCUAUUGCGAAGGCAGCUCGCUGGGACGUUACUGACGCUGAGACGCGAAAGCGUGGGGAGCAAACAGG